rnacentral:rRNA from 1 species
GAUGAACGCUGGCGGCGUGCUUAACACAUGCCAGUCGAACGGGAAACCUUUUAUUGAAGCUUCGGCAGAUUUAGCUGGUUUCUAGUGGCGGACGGGUGAGUAACGCGUGGGUAACCUGCCUUAUACAGGGGGAUAACAACCAGAAAUGGUUGCUAAUGCCGCAUAAGCGCACAGGACCGCAUGGUCCGGUGUGAAAAACUCCGGUGGUAUAAGAUGGACCCGCGUUGGAUUAGCUAGUUGGCAGGGUAACGGCCUACCAAGGCGACGAUCCAUAGCCGGCAUGGGAGAGUCGGCCGCCACAUUGAGACUGAGACACAGCCCAGAAUACUACGGGAGGCAGCAGUGGCGAAUAUUGCACAAUGGGGGAAACCCUGAUGCAGCGACGCCGCGUAAAGGAAGAAGUAUCUCGGUAUGUAAACUUCUAUCAGCAGGGAAGAUAGUGACGGUACCUGACUAAGAAGCCCCGGCUAACUACGUG